AUUUUUGGUUCUAAAGAGACACAGGUGCAUCCAUUCAUUUCAGCCAAAAUCCCUUGCCUGAGACAACACAAGCAAGCAGUGACAUUGCACUUGGAUGACAGAGCUUUGGGAUUCCCGUUCCUACUGAAACCAUCUGAACGCAGCUCCUGUAGGAAGCAUCACCUUCUCCAGUGCUGCAGAAGGCUUCUUUUUGAGUUCUUCACAUUUUCGGAAUUUGCAAAUCUGGUGGCCAGUUUUGCGAUUCCUACAACUGCUGCACUGCUCGCAGUUUAUCCGUCUUCGGC
rnacentral:lncRNA from 1 species